UGGGGAAUAUUGCACAAUGGGCGAAAGCCUGAUGCAGCAACGCCGCGUGAGUGAUGAAGGUCUUCGGAUUGUAAAGCUCUGUCUUUUGGGACGAUAAUGACGGUACCAAAGGAGGAAGCCACGGCUAACUACGUGCCAGCAGCCGCGGUAAUACGUAGGUGGCGAGCGUUGUCCGGAUUUACUGGGCGUAAAGGGUGCGUAGGCGGAUGUUUAAGUGAGAUGUGAAAUACCCGGGCUUAACUUGGGUGCUGCAUUUCAAACUGGAUAUCUAGAGUGCAGGAGAGGAGAAUGGAAUUCCUAGUGUAGCGGUGAAAUUGCGUAGAGAUU
rnacentral:rRNA from 1 species